rnacentral:rRNA from 1 species
CACGCUGUAAACGAUGUCGAUUUGGAGUUUGGGGGCAUGACCCUUGGGCUCCGGAGCUAACGCGUUAAAUCGACCGCUGGGGAGUACGGCCGCAAGGUUAAAACUCAAAUGAAUUGACGGGGGCCCGCACAAGCGGUGGAGCAUGUGGUUUAAUUCGAUGCAACGCGAAGAACCUUACAUGGUCUUGACAUCCAUAGAAUCUUUCAGAGAUGAGAGAGUGCCUUCGGGAGCUAUGAGACAGGUGCUGCAUGGCUGUCGUCAGCUCGUGUUGUGAAAUGUUGGGUUAAGUCCCGCAACGAGCGCAACCCCUAUCCUUUGUUGCCAGCACGUAAUGGUGGGAACUCAAAGGAGACUGCCGUUGAUAAAGCGGAGGAAGGUGGGGACGACGUCAAGUCAUCAUGGCCCUUACGACCAGGGCUACACACGUGCUACAAUGGCGUAUACAAAGGGAUGCGAAGGUGCGAACUGGAGCGGACCUCACAAAGUACGUCUAAGUCCGGAUUGGAGUCUGCAACUCGACUCCAUGAAGUCGGAAUCGCUAGUAAUCGUGAAUCAGAAUGUCACGGUGAAUACGUUCCCGGGCCUUGUACACACCGCCCGUCACACCAUGGGAGUGGGUUGCACCAGAAGUAGAUAGCUUAACCUUCGGGAGGGCGUUUACCACGGUGUGGUUCAUGACUGGGGUGAAGUCGUAACAAGGUAACCA